rnacentral:rRNA from 1 species
GACGAACGCUGGCGGCGUGCCUAAUACAUGCAAGUAGAACGCUGAAGAGAGGAGCUUGCCCUUCUUGGAUGAGUUGCGAACGGGUGAGUAACGCGUAGGUAACCUGCCUGGUAGCGGGGGAUAACUAUUGGAAACGAUAGCUAAUACCGCAUAAAAUGGAUUAUCGCAUGAUAAUCCAUUGAAAGGUGCAAAUGCAUCACUACCAGAUGGACCUGCGUUGUAUUAGCUAGUUGGUGGGGUAACGGCUCACCAAGGCGACGAUACAUAGCCGACCUGAGAGGGUGAUCGGCCACACUGGGACUGAGACACGGCCCAGACUCCUACGGGAGGCAGCAGUAGGGAAUCUUCGGCAAUGGACGGAAGUCUGACCGAGCAACGCCGCGUGAGUGAAGAAGGUUUUCGGAUCGUAAAGCUCUGUUGUAAGAGAAGAACGAGUGUGAGAGUGGAAAGUUCACACUGUGACGGUAUCUUACCAGAAAGGGACGGCUAACUACGUG